GUCGCGAGUUCUCCUGGCAACCGGCGAAGCCCGCCUCCCGCCGCGUCCUCUCCUGGAUGCCGCGUCCUGGCCCCGCCCCCAUCCUGGCCACGCCUCCAAGCCCGCCGCGCAGGAGUCCUGCGUCCCCAGGAAGUCCGCAAAGGGCCGGCCCCUGGGCUUGCCUGCAAAUCCGAGUUGUGUCCCACCAACGCGCUGGGACCGGUCUGUGAGGCCUGAGCGCAAGCAUCUUUCUACGGGUCCACUGAAGAACUCUGCAUAUGUCCCAUGGGAGACCAGCUUUGGGCUGCUUGUCCUACAGAGAAAAACAUCCAUGCCCAGUCCACUUUACCAGAAAAGCAGUAACAAACAGAAGAUUACAGCUAGACCAAAUUAAAUAAAGAAAUAUGUGCCCUUUUCGCCUAAAUCAUCUUCCCUCACCCAUAUUUUGAGAAAAGCUGGAUCCAGGAAAGAAAGGAAGUAUUAAAGGAAGUAUUAAGGAAACCACA
rnacentral:lncRNA from 1 species